UGCGCCAAUAGCUCAGUUGGAUAGAGCAACUGCCUUCUAAGCAGUAGGUCAGAGGUUCGAGACCUCUUUGGCGUAA
rnacentral:tRNA from 1 species